rnacentral:rRNA from 1 species
GUGGGGAAUUUUGCGCAAUGGGCGAAAGCCUGACGCAGCAACGCCGCGUGCGGGAUGACGGCCUUCGGGUUGUAAACCGCUGUCAGGAGGGACGAAGCGAAAGUGACGGUACCUCCAGAGGAAGCCCCGGCUAAUUACGUGCCAGCAGCCGCGGUAAUACGUAAGGGGCGAGCGUUGUCCGGAUUCAUUGGGCGUAAAGAGCGCGUAGGCGGCUUAUCAAGUCAGGUGUGAAAACCGGGGGCUCAACCCGCGGACUGCACUUGAAACUGGUAGGCUUGAGUCUAGUAGAGGGAAAUGGAAUUCCUAGUGUAGCGGUGAAAUGCGCAGAUAUUAGGAAGAACACCGGUGGCGAAGGCGGUUUCCUGGGCUACGACUGACGCUGAGGCGCGAAAGCUAGGGGAGCAAACAGGAUUAGAUACCCUGGUAGUCC